rnacentral:rRNA from 1 species
UACGUAGGGAGCAAGCGUUGUCCGGAAUUACUGGGCGUAAAGGGUGCGUAGGCGGUUAAUCAAGUCAGAUGUGAAAUAUCCGGGCUUAACCCGGGGGCUGCAUCUGAAACUGGUUGACUUGAGUGCAGGAGAGGAAAGUGGAAUUCCUAGUGUAGCGGUAAAAUGCGUAGAUAUUAGGAGGAACACCAGUGGCGAAGGCGACUUUCUGGACUGUAACUGACGCUGAGGCACGAAAGCGUGGGAAGCAAACAGGAUUAGAUACCCUGGUAGUCCACGCUGUAAACGAUGGAUACUAGGUGUGGGUGACAAAAGUCAUCCGUGCCGGAGCAAACGCAAUAAGUAUCCCGCCUGGGGAGUACGGCCGCAAGGCUGAA